CCUACGGGAUGCCGCAGUGGGGAAUAUUGGACAAUGGGCGAAAGCCUGAUCCAGCCAUGCCGCGUGUGUGAAGAAGGCCGUCGGGUUGUAAAGCACUUUCAGUGGGGAAGAAAGCCUUGGGGCUAAUACCCUCGAGGAAGGACAUCACCCACAGAAGAAGCACCGGCUAACUCCGUGCCAGCAGCCGCGGUAAUACGGAGGGUGCGAGCGUUAAUCGGAUUUACUGGGCGUAAAGCGCGCGUAGGCGGUCUGAUAAGCCGGUUGUGAAAGCCCCGGGCUCAACCUGGGAACGGCAUCCGGAACUGUCCGGCUAGAGUGCAGGAGAGGAAGGUAGAAUUCCCGGUGUAGCGGUGAACUGCGUAGAGAUCGGGAGGAAUACCAGUGGCGAAGGCGGCCUUCUGGACUGACACUGACGCUGAGGUGCGAAAGCGUGGGUAGCAAACAGGAUUAGAUACCCCAGUAGUC
rnacentral:rRNA from 1 species